GACGAACGCUGGCGGCGUGCUUAACACAUGCAAGUCGAACGGUGAAGCUCCAGCUUGCUGGAGUGGAUCAGUGGCGAACGGGUGAGUAACACGUGAGCAACCUGCCCCUGACUCUGGAAUGAGCGCUGGAAACGGCGUCUAAUACUGGAUACGAGAAGGGUCCGCAUGGGCACUUUCUGGAAAGUUUUUCGGUUGGGGAUGGGCUCGCGGCCUAUCAGCUUGUUGGUGAGGUAAUGGCUCACCAAGGCGACGACGGGUAGCCGGCCUGAGAGGGCGACCGGCCACACUGGGACUGAGACACGGCCCAGACUCCUACGGGAGGCAGCAGUGGGGAAUAUUGCACAAUGGGCGAAAGCCUGAUGCAGCGACGCCGCGUGAGGGAUGACGGCCUUCGGGUUGUAAACCUCUUUCAGCAGGGAAGAAGCGAAAGUGACGGUACCUGCAGAAGAAGCACCGGCUAACUACGUG
rnacentral:rRNA from 1 species